UCCGACGGACAUACCCCCUGAAAGCUGCGACUCUCGUUUGAUCUCGGAAGCUAAGCAGGGGCGGGCCUGGUUAGUACCUGGAUGGAGGAGAGUGGGUACCAUGAGGC
rnacentral:rRNA from 1 species